rnacentral:rRNA from 1 species
AUUGAACGCUGGCGGCAGGCCUAACACAUGCAAGUCGAACGAGUGGCGGACGGGUGAGUAAUGUCUGGGAAACUGCCUGAUGGAGGGGGAUAACUACUGGAAACGGUAGCUCAUACCGCAUACCAUCAGAUGUGCCCAGAUGGGAUUAGCUAGUUGGUGGGGUAACGGCUCACCAAGGCGACGAUCCCUAUCUGGUCUGAGAUGAUGACCAGCCACACUGGAACGUAGACACGGUCCAGACUCCUACGUGGUGCAGCAGUGGGGAAUAUUGCACAAUGGGCGCAAGCCUGAUGCAGCCAGGCCGCGUGUAGGAAGAAGGCCUUCGGGUUGUAAAGUACUUUCAGCGGGGAGGCGUUACCCGCAGAAGAAGCACCGGCUAACUCCGUGCCAGCAGCCGCGGUAAUUC